UACGUAGGGUGCGAGCGUUGUCCGGAAUUAUUGGGCGUAAAGAGCUCGUAGGCGGCUUGUCGCGUCGGAUGUGAAAGCCCGGGGCUUAACUCCGGGUCUGCAUUCGAUACGGGCAGGCUAGAGUUCGGUAGGGGAGAUUGGAAUUCCUGGUGUAGCGGUGGAAUGCGCAGAUAUCAGGAGGAACACCGAUGGCGAAGGCAGGUCUCUGGGCACUUACUGACGCUGAGGAGCGAAAGCGUGGGGAGCGAACAGG
rnacentral:rRNA from 1 species